CUUAGGAAUCUACCUAGUAGUGGGGGAUAGCUCGGGGAAACUCGAAUUAAUACCGCAUACGACCUACGGGAGAAAGGGGGCAACUUGUUGCUCUCGCUAUUAGAUGAGCCUAAGUCGGAUUAGCUAGAUGGUGGGGUAAAGGCCUACCAUGGCGACGAUCUGUAGCUGGUCUGAGAGGAUGAUCAGCCACACCGGGACUGAGACACGGCCCGGACUCCUACGGGAGGCAGCAGUGGGGAAUAUUGGACAAUGGGGGCAACCCUGAUCCAGCCAUGCCGCGUGUGUGAAGAAGGCCUUUUGGUUGUAAAGCACUUUAAGCAGUGAAGAAGACUCCAUGGUUAAUACCCAUGGACGAUGACAUUAGCUGCAGAAUAAGCACCGGCUAACUCUGUGCCAGCAGCCGCGGUAAUACAGAGGGUGCAAGCGUUAAUCGGAAUUACUGGGCGUAAAGCGAGCGUAGGUGGCUUGAUAAGUCAGAUGUGAAAGCCCCGGGCUUAACCUGGGAACGGCAUCUGAUACUGUUAGGCUAGAGUAGGUGAGAGGAAGGUAGAAUUCCAGGUGUAGCGGUGAAAUGCGUAGAGAUCUGGAGGAAUACCGAUGGCGAAGGCAGCCUUCUGGCAUCAUACUGACACUGAGGUUCGAAAGCGUGGGUAGCAAACAGGAUUAGAUACCCUGGUAGUCCACGCCGUAAACGAUGUCUACUAGUCGUUGGGUCCCUUGAGGACUUAGUGACGCAGCUAACGCAAUAAGUAGACCGCCUGGGGGAGUACGGCCGCAAGGUUAAAACUCAAAUGAAUUGACGGGGGCCCGCACAAGCGGUGGGAGCAUGUGGGUUUAAUUCCGAUGCAACGCGGAAGAACCUUUACCUGGUCUUGGACAUAUUCUAGAAUCCUUGCA
rnacentral:rRNA from 1 species